UACGGAGGGGGCGAGCGUUGUCCGAAGUUACUGGGCGUAAAGGGCGCGUAGGCGGGAGGCCAAGUCCGCUGUGAAAGCCUGAGGCUCAACCUCAGCGGGUCGGUGGAGACUGGUCUUCUUGAAGGUGUCAGGGGGAGAUGGAAUUAUCGGUGUAGCGGUGAAAUGCGUAGAUAUCGAUAGGAACACCAGUGGCGAAGGCGGUCUCCUGGGGCAUUCUUGACGCUGAGGCGCGAAAGCUAGGGGAGCAAACGGG
rnacentral:rRNA from 1 species